AACGAACGCUGGCGGCAGGCUUAACACAUGCAAGUCGAGCGCAUCCUUCGGGGUGAGCGGCAGACGGGUGAGUAACGCGUGGGAACGUACCCUUUCCUACGGACUAGCUCCGGGAAACUGGAAUUAAUACCGUAUACGCCCUUAGGGGGAAAGAUUUAUCGGGGAAGGAUCGGCCCGCGUUGGAUUAGCUAGUUGGUGGGGUAAAGGCCUACCAAGGCGACGAUCCAUAGCUGGUCUGAGAGGAUGAUCAGCCACAUUGGGAGUGAGACACGGCCCAAACUCCUACGAGAGGCAGCAGUGGGGAAUAUUGGGCAAUGGGCGCAAGCCUGAUCCAGCCAUGCCGCGUGAGUGAUGAAGGCCUUAGGGUUGUAAAGCUCUUUCAGUAGGGAAGAUAAUGACGGUACCUACAGAAGAAGCCCCGGCUAACUUCGUGCCAGCAGCCGCGGUAA
rnacentral:rRNA from 1 species